GUUGUUAUCAAAGAUGUUUCGGUUAAAUCUAAGUUUUACAUUAGUUACGGGUUUAUUAUUAGUCCGCAAAUCAUAUUAACAUCAGCGCUGGCAAUAUCAGGAAGAAAAGCAAGCGACCUAAUCGUCAGAGCUAACUGUACUAGCGGUAUAAUUAAUUGUAAGGACAAAUUUGUAACAAAAAUAUUUUUACCAAUCUCUGUGGACACUUCUGAAUUUUACUCCAACGAUUACGCACUUUUGACUCUCAAAACACCCUUCUACUUCGCUAUCAAUAACCCCGAUUUUAGCAGAGUUCAAUUAACUGAAAAUUACAGCGAAAUUAACAAGUCCAAAUGUUUUAUUUUCCGAUGGAAGUAUAAUUUUUC